GGGAAGUUGAAGUUCUACAAAUUUCGCCAAAUGCUAUAUGCCGCACUGAUGAUGAUUGCCUCAAGGUUAUAAAUUGUUCAGCUUUAUUUCCAAAGCGCUCAUGUACACGUGUGAUUUGCCAAAAUGGAGGGUGUUCUUGUGUCUGUAAUCCAAGUGAGAUAGAGGAAAUUAAAUUAUAACUAUUCCAGGUCAACUAAUGUAGCUUGUCCAAUAAUAUUAAUAAUAAUCUAAAAGAAAUAAUCGACUUA
rnacentral:lncRNA from 1 species